rnacentral:rRNA from 1 species
UGCGGCGUGCUUAACACAUGCAAGUCGAACGGAAAGGCCCUGCUUUUGUGGGGUGCUCGAGUGGCGAACGGGUGAGUAACACGUGAGUAACCUGCCCUUGACUUUGGGAUAACUUCAGGAAACUGGGGCUAAUACCGGAUAGGAGCUCCUGCUGCAUGGUGGGGGUUGGAAAGUUUCGGCGGUUGGGGAUGGACUCGCGGCUUAUCAGCUUGUUGGUGGGGUAGUGGCUUACCAAGGCUUUGACGGGUAGCCGGCCUGAGAGGGUGACCGGCCACAUUGGGACUGAGAUACGGCCCAGACUCCUACGGGAGGCAGCAGUGGGGAAUAUUGCACAAUGGGCGGAAGCCUGAUGCAGCAACGCCGCGUGCGGGAUGACGGCCUUCGGGUUGUAAACCGCUUUCGCCUGUGACGAAGCGUGAGUGACGGUAAUGGGUAAAGAAGCACCGGCUAACUACGUGCCAGCAGCCGCGGUGAUACGUAGGGUGCGAGCGUUGUCCGGAUUUAUUGGGCGUAAAGGGCUCGUAGGUGGUUGAUCGCGUCGGAAGUGUAAUCUUGGGGCUUAACCCUGAGCGUGCUUUCGAUACGGGUUGACUUGAGGAAGGUAGGGGAGAAUGGAAUUCCUGGUGGAGCGGUGGAAUGCGCAGAUAUCAGGAGGAAUACCAGUGGCGAAGGCGGUUCUCUGGGCCUUUCCUGACGCUGAGGAGCGAAAGCGUGGGGAGCGAACAGGCUUAGAUACCCUGGUAGUCCACGCUGUAAACGGUGGGUACUAGGUGUGGGGUCCAUUCCACGGGUUCCGUGCCGUAGCUAACGCUUUAAGUACCCCGCCUGGGGAGUACGGCCGCAAGGCUAAAACUCAAAGGAAUUGACGGGGCCCCGCACAAGCGGCGGAGCAUGCGGAUUAAUUCGAUGCAACGCGUAGAACCUUACCUGGGUUUGACAUGGAUCGGGAGUGCUCAGAGAUGGGUGUGCCUCUUUUGGGGUCGGUUCACAGGUGGUGCAUGGCUGUCGUCAGCUCGUGUCGUGAGAUGUUGGGUUAAGUCCCGCAACGAGCGCAACCCUUGUUCACUGUUGCCAGCACGUUAUGGUGGGGACUCAGUGGAGACCGCCGGGGUCAACUCGGAGGAAGGUGGGGAUGACGUCAAGUCAUCAUGCCCCUUAUGUCCAGGGCUUCACGCAUGCUACAAUGGCUGGUACAGAGAGUGGCGAGCCUGUGAGGGUGAGCGAAUCUCGGAAAGCCGGUCUCAGUUCGGAUUGGGGUCUGCAACUCGACCUCAUGAAGUCGGAGUCGCUAGUAAUCGCAGAUCAGCAACGCUGCGGUGAAUACGUUCCCGGGGCUUGUACACACCGCCCGUCAAGUCAUGAAAGUUGGUAACACCCGAAGCCGGUGGCCUAACCGAUGUGGGGGAGCCGUCGAAGGUGGGACUGGUGA